UCUGUUACCAAGUAAAAGAAAUGAAUUUCAAGAAAGAAAACCAAACAAAUACAUAAAAUUUGUGAUUUAAGCAAAGUCCCCACUACUUUCAUCAAACAAUAAAUCUCUAAACCUAUGGAAAGAAACAUAAAGCAGACAGUCAGCAGCAAAAUACAAUGAUAUUUACAAGACUUUAAGCAAAAUAAAGAAACAUAAAGAGACAGUAAGCCCUAAAUUCCUCCAAGACUGUCAACAUAAUCUAUGCUAAACUCCAACUCAUUUCCAACCUAUCGUCGCCAACAACAACACAUUUAUUCCAAACAAUUGAAAGCAUUACCUAUAUAAAAUAAAUGAAAGCAUUACAGAAUACGUCCCAUAAACCCAGAAGACGACGAUGGAGACAAAUGAACACAAAAUAAACCGAGAAAUGAAAGCAUUACCUUGACGACGAUGAAGAUAAAUGAAAGGAACGAAAACCCUAUACACAGAGAAGACGAUUUCACUUAAUUUCAGGCUCAUCAACAAAUUACAAACAAAAAAAUUUACAAAAACAAGGAAACCCAAAGUUUAAAUACACGGGCAAAGAAAAAAAUCGAACCUUCUUCGUCUUCACUGUCUGGGUUAUGUAAGUAUGAAAGAAACCGAAACACUGAAGCUUUUCCUUGUAAGGAAUAAACCAAUUGAAGAAUGAUGGGAAAGAAAUCGACAAACUGCUCUCUCUGCCUCUGACUGGUUGGGGAUUUCGAUAGAUAGGGGAUUUGUGGAUUUGGUGCUGGGAGCGGGGAAGAGAUCGCGCUAGAACUCUUUAAAGCAAUUCAGCAAUCAUGGUGCUCGGUAAUCGUUUUUUCACGAACUUAUGCCUUUUCAAGUUGGUGCUUGGAGGAGCUUGCUGAGAUUAUUAAACAACAUAACAACGACGGCCAUAAAGUGUUUCCAAUUUUUUACGAUGUUGAUCCAUCUGAUUUAAGAAAACAAAAAGGGAAAGUGGAAGAAGCCUUUGCCAGACAUGAAGAGAGAUACAAAGAAGAAAGUGAGAAGAUCCAAAGGUGGCGAAAUGCUUUGAUUCAAGUGGCUGCAAUCAAGGGAUGGCAUUUAAAUAACAGGUAAUUCUUUCUUUU
rnacentral:lncRNA from 1 species